CAAUAUGGCGUACAACAAAUGGACGAAUUCCGGCGAAUGUACUAUCCUUUCUGCAUGCUUUCGUUUGGUUUAUGGUUUGCGGGGUUUGCGCGAAAUUUCCGCGUCGCGUUAAUUUCUAUUUCUAUUAUCUUUAAUUCACGAGGUUUCGGUUGUGCCGACCGGCGAAUUUUCUCCUAUGUCUCUCCGUUUCGCGUUUCUGCUGUGAAAAGCCUUAGAACGUCAUCGACCAAUGAUACCAGUGGUAGGUGAUCGAGUGCUAACUAAUGGAUGAGUCAAAGCCAAGUCCAGCGCCAGUCUCACUGAAAAGAUCGCGUCUGGGGCCUAACCUAAAAACAUUGAAAGUGUUACGUCCAGUUGUACCCAAUGGAAAUGGUAUUUAUUUCGAUCACACUUGAUAAUGUUAGAGUUAUUUUUUCAGUGCAAGUCUACCAACAUGGGUAGCUAUGAAAAAAUUAAAAAAUUAUUCUAUGUUGACUCUCCUGACCUCUCCUAAAAAAUUCUUUGCAAUCUCCAACAAAAAUUCAAGAACUGUGCAAUUUAAAUCACAGCUCUCGAAUUGAGGAUUGGGAGAGUCAGUGGCAUCUCUGCAUCAUGCCAGAUUGUCAAAUUGGCAAAGAGCAGAAAAAAAUCAGUCAGGUGACCAUCUACUUUGCAAAAUCUGAAUGGACGAAGUGCAAAUUCAAGCAAUAUGAUGUAUUUUAUCUCCUAAAAAUUUCACAUGGAAAACGAUCAGCGCACCAAAAAUAACUGAUAAUUACUCCUAAUCAAGAUUUUAAUGGUUUUUGAUAAAUAAACUUAAAUUUCUGCUUAAAAAAAAAGGAAGACUGUCUUCUUGAGUUAACUUGCUCACUAAACAUCAGCAAGCAGUUGCAGCAUUUUGAAAAUAAUACAAGGUCAAUCUGGACUUUUCAGCUCAGUUGCAAGUUCUUUACACUUCAAACAAUUCAGGAUGAGGAAGGAUUUAUGCUUAAUGAAGAAGCCCAACAAAAGCGUCAUAGUGC
rnacentral:lncRNA from 1 species